rnacentral:tRNA from 1 species
GGCUUGGUGGUUUAGCGGUAGAAUUCUCGCCUUCCAUGUGGGAGACUCGGGUUUGAGUCCUGGCCAAUGCA